rnacentral:lncRNA from 1 species
CUUUGUGAUAACUGUAAAUCCUUACACAGAUCAUUCAAAGUUAGCAGAAAUCACAACGUGUUCACAUUAGCCCCCUUUUUCAGGAAACCAAGCGUCUAACAAGCAGAAAGAACUGGAAGAUAAUGGAAAAGACAAAUGGCUCAUAUGUGAUGAACAUUGCGAUAAAUACUUAGAAUACUUUUGCAUAAAACAUGACAAGCUGUGUUGCAUUCUUUGUAAACGACAAUACCAUAGGGAUUGUUGCGAAGUUGAGAAGAUUGAUGACGUUAUAGAUGAAAACUAACUGGCAACUACCACAAAUAA